AGAGUUUGAUCAUGGCUCAGGAUGAACGCUGGCGGCGUGCCUAACACAUGCAAGUCGAGCGAUUCUCUUCGGAGAAGAGCGGCGGACGGGUGAGUAACGCGUGGGUAACCUGCCCUGUACACACGGAUAACAUACCGAAAGGUAUGCUAAUACGAGAUAAUAUGCUUUUGUCGCAUGGUAGAAGUAUCAAAGCUCCGGCGGUACAGGAUGGACCCGCGUCUGAUUAGCUAGUUGGUAAGGUAACGGCUUACCAAGGCGACGAUCAGUAGCCGACCUGAGAGGGUGAUCGGCCACAUUGGAACUGAGACACGGUCCAAACUCCUACGGGAGGCAGCAGUGGGGAAUAUUGCACAAUGGGCGAAAGCCUGAUGCAACAACGCCGCGUGAGCGAUGAAGGCCUUCGGGUCGUAAAGCUCUGUCCCCAAGGAAGAUAAUGACGGUACUUGAGGAGGAAGCCCCGGCUAACUACGUGCCAGCAGCCGCGGUAAUACGUAGGGGGCUAGCGUUAUCCGGAAUUACUGGGCGUAAAGGGUGCGUAGGUGGUUUCUUAAGUCAGAGGUGAAAGGCUACGGCUCAACCGUAGUAAGCCUUUGAAACUGGGAAACUUGAGUGCAGGAGAGGAGAGUGGAAUUCCUAGUGUAGCGGUGAAAUGCGUAGAUAUUAGGAGGAACACCAGUUGCGAAGGCGGCUCUCUGGACUGUAACUGACACUGAGGCACGAAAGCGUGGGGAGCAAACAGGAUUAGAUACCCUGGUAGUCCACGCCGUAAACGAUGAGUACUAGCCGUCGGAGGUUACCCCCUUCGGUGGCGCAGCUAACGCAUUAAGUACUCCGCCUGGGAAGUACGCUCGCAAGAGUGAAACUCAAAGGAAUUGACGG
rnacentral:rRNA from 1 species